GCCUACGGGGGGCAGCAGUGGGGAAUAUUGGGCAAUGGGGGAAACCCUGACCCAGCGACGCCGCGUGAGGGAAGAAGGUUUUCGGAUUGUAAACCUCUGUCCUUGGUGACGAUAAUGACGGUAGCCAAGGAGGAAGCCACGGCUAACUACGUGCCAGCAGCCGCGGUAAUACGUAGGUGGCGAGCGUUGUCCGGAAUUACUGGGUGUAAAGCGAGUGCAGGCGGUUCAAUAAGUCUGAUGUGAAAGCCUUCGGCUCAACCGGAGAAUUGCAU
rnacentral:rRNA from 1 species